GGAUGUGAGGGUGAUCCAGCUGGGACAUCUGUCACCCCGUUGAUUGCCAGGGUUGAUUCAGCUGAUCUGGCUGGCUAGUCGUGGGUCCCCUUCCUCCCUCACCGCUCCACGUGCGUCCCUCCUGAAGCUGCAUGCUAGGUCAAAGAGGACGACGACCUUUCCCGAUAGAGGAGGCCUGUUCUUUGGUCAAGAGUAUACGGGUAGCUGCACUCCCCUGCUAGAACCUCCAAACAAGCUCUCAAGUCACAGGGACCUGGGGCUGGAGGGAGGCCCAGUGUG
rnacentral:snRNA from 1 species